rnacentral:lncRNA from 1 species
CAUCGGCUUUCCUCCCUUCUUCCGGCAGUUGGCGCGGCGAUCUUGCCAGCGCCGAUCUGCCCACGAACGGGUUUCCCGUGUCCAUAUCUCGUUUAUGCUCUAAUUAGCUACGCGGUCCGCACUUGUGGGCUCCCUCGCUGGCCUCGGAUUUCCCCUUGGCUUCUCGAUGGGGGAUAUACCGCCCCUUCCCCGGUCCCCGACGUCCCGUUGACCGGGACACCGCCUGAGCGGGGGAUCGGAGUGUGGUCGGAUCCGUGACCUUUUCCCACUGCCCCUCGUGCAGACUAUCCAGGCCUAGAAAUUUGGCCUGGAAAUUUGUAGCUUUUGCGCCACCUUAUCCCCUUUGCGGUCUUGCAGUUACCUGCUACGUGACAGCUGCCGGCGGUGGGGUAUCGAUAUAUCGAUAUAUCGGUAUGCGCAAGCUCGCUUGCGCUCCCCACCACUAAUUAGCGAUCAGCUGCUCGCAACAAGCAAAGAAGAUUGCGAAAAUGGGAAAAAUUGUUUUUGCCUUCCCAAAGAAGAGAGCGCGAAAAACCCGUGGCCUCCUCGCCUCUCCUCCCCUCCUCUGUGUAUGGAGCGGCGCCCAGCGACUGGAUUCCGCGCCGGGAGACUCACCCUGAACGCGUAUGUCGGUCUGGCUCGGUACGUACCCCUUCCUGUCGGGCACCUUCUCACUUUUACCUUUUUCCAGGCAGUUUCACGCACGGAAAAUGAAUUAGACGCUGGAGGAAAAACAAGCGCGUCCGAUCGCUUUCACUCUUCACUUUCCCUCUCUCUAUACGAGUGGGUGUGUGUGUGUGUGUGUGUGUGUGUGUGAUAACAAACAUGACCACAUGCAGGGCAUAGUCCAGAUUCUGGCCUUCCUCCUACUCGUGGGUCACUGGGAAAUUAUGACAACCUGAAGCUGGACCUCAACUGGAAAUGGAAUAGAAUAGAGUGGAGUGGAGUGGAGUGGCGUUGCAUGGAGAGAAAUGGAAUGCCAGGGGCUGGCAUGGAAUUGUACGUGUCCUUGUUUGCCUCUUCUUCUCGUGUGCUGGGGAAUUCAUGUGCUCUUGGCAGGCAGCCCAGCAGAUUCGUGCAGAUGCAACAACAAUGUCAGCGGUGUAGGCAGGACCUGAGGCAAAAGCCUACGCCAAUUGGCAGAAAACAAAACACGGCAGGGGCAGUGGCUCUGGCUCUGGCUCUGGCUCUGGCACUGACAGGGGCAUGGGCAGGGGCAGGGCAGAGAGAGGCUGCUUGCUACUCAUUGCCAAAAAUGCUUUCCACCUUUUUGCAUCGGAGGGGUAGAUGGGCGUGGCACAGUUUUUGCCUCCUGCCCAAGGACUGCUACUCCUCAUUCCGUACGUUCCUCUGCUCUUCUAUUCCUGCCCCCAUUCUUGGCAAUCAGCUUCUUCUUGCUGCUGCUCGUUCUUGCUCGUUCCUUUCAUGUUUGCCAAACGGAACUUUGGCUCGUUAAUAUUUUUGCACAGCGGGCGUAAAAAGGAUUCCUCUCCCUGCUUCUGCCACUUUUUGUUGCAGCAUACAAACAAAAUCAAAAAAGUUCGAGACAAACGGCCCAACGGAUGGAAACAAAUUUUAUAAAUCAGCAUGAGAACUAGGCCCUUCCGCCCUUCUGCCAAAACCUUUGAAAAGUAUUUGCAAUAUUCAUUUUCCGAACAGCAGCAGGCUUCAUAAAUUUUGUGACUCGGCCUUUUGUCAGUCAACAAAAAUGUGGCACAUGAAAAAUUCAUUUAGCGACGCUCGAAAGUAGGCAACACAAAAUAUUUGCACGGCACGAAAAGUGUCGAGUAAUGGAGACUCCCCUUUGCCCUUCCCGGUAUCAAAAUGCUGAAGUGCCACACACACACACACACACAUACACAAAGGGGUGCUCAAAAAAGAGGGUGUACCCUUAAGAGUGAGCGAGAGAGAGAGAGAGAGAAUCAGAGCAGGGUUAGAGACUAACAAAAUUAAAUGGCGCAUACAAUUUUAAUGCAAAUCAAAUGAUUUAAUUUAAAGCCACAUAAAAGUGGACACUGCCCGGAAAAGUAUCCGGGAAACUGCUGUUUGAACAGCCGGUCGGCCAGGGCGUGGACGCGGCUUGGUUUUCCAUGCGUGUGAGGGGUUCCAGGGUUUUCCUGGGGAACAGCGAACAAAAUAAAACGAAAGCAAUGCCAGGCAAAGUCCCGUAAUUACUUUGAUGAAAAAUGGCAGUUUCAGUGAUUAAGGAAACUGCCCGCAAAAGGGUGGGAUAUGGGGAUGGGAAAGGGAAAGGGAGCCAUGUGCGAUUGUGUGGCAUGUGUGUCCACCAUUCACUUGAUUACACAUACGCCAUGUUGUACGAAUAGAACGCGCAGGAAAUUAAGCCUGGUCCAACCGGAAGUGGCCAAAGCCCAAACCCACAUGGGUGUGUCUGUGUGAGUGUUAGUUUGUAAGCGUGUAUAAGAAUGUCCGCGUGUGUGUGUACAUGAGCCUAAUGAUGUCAGCAGCAGCAGAAGAGAGCGACUUCAACACGCAGUUGCCGCAUUAGUUGUAAUUGCCGCGGCAUGUUCUUCAAAGAGGCAGCGCCUCCCGGACUCCCUGCCUGCCACUCCAUCUUAAAUCCGUCGGCUUAAGGAUACGCCAUAACUCAACAGGAGCGCUGUCCUCUGUGGGUUUUUAAGUAAAUAUCGACAAAAUAUGCCCGACCACACUCUUUCACUCACUCACUCACUCAUUGCACCCCGCAACUCGCACCAGACUUACCACAGUCCCCUCUCUACUUUUACUCUAACAGAAAAACCCGCGGGACCAGAGAUCCGCGACGACAUGAAAAAUCUUGCGCGAAAAACAUCUUGCCAUAAAGAAUGCGCCAGAAAAAUUGCAAUGGAGAUAGGAGCAGCAGCAGCAGCAGCAGCAACAGCAGCGGAGUUUCAGAAGAACUGCAACAGCAAAAAUGACAAUAAAUUGCUGGAAAAAUGAGCAAUGAGUAAUUCAUAUGCUGAGACAGAAGCUGAAGGCAGUCAGGGGAAUAGAUGGGGCAGCAGCAGAGCAAGCAAUUCAACGGGCCAUCAAUCUUGACUGGCUCCUGCUCCUGCUCCUGCUCCGGCUCUUCUGUUACUCCUCCUUGUUCCUUGACUCUCGUUGGCGCCGCAGAGUCUACAUCAAUUUGGCAGGACCAGCAGCAGCCACCAGAAGAUCGGACUCUGCGGACAGACACGGAACGGACAUGACGCGCUUUUAUGUGGCUGCUGGGAAUUGAAGAGCCAGCAGAGGGCCAGAGAGAGGGAGACAAAUGAGAAGGGAGCUAGCUGGCUGUACGUGAGAGUUGAGCGUUUGUAAUAUGCUUGUAAAAUGCAAUAAAUUUUGUUAGCUCUCGGACAAAGUCAGGGCCCAACAGCGGCAGCGGAGUGUGGCAGUGGCAGCAAAAGCAGCAACAUUGACGAUGGCAAGCCAUAAAACGCGUUUUUGAUUUGCCCCAAAAUUUAUGUGAUCACAUUAAAUGUGAGACAGUCAAAGACAGAGCCACUGGCAGUGGCAUUGCCAGAGGAUAAAAGGAGCCGCUGCCAAGCAACAGAUUGUUCAGCGCCAUAAUCUGUGCGUGUUAUCAGCCUCUGACACCGAGUGGCAACAACAGCCACGAGCGCGACAGGUGUUGUCGUUAUGAGCCAUAAUCUGACUGACACCCCGCUGCAUAUUAAAGCCGUGCCGACCCCCCACACGACACAGAGAGACACUUGACGGCAACGAUGACGGAGUGGAGAGCGUUGCCAAGCGUGAAACACCCUUGCAGAUGUUACCUGCUCGCUGCUGGCUGCAAGUUACAGGUUACCCUGUUGUGCCACUCUUGUGCAUUCGCUCGCCGCGCUCUCUCUCCCUCGCAAUCUCUCUCUAUUUCCACAGUUGUGUAUCGCGAAAUCUUUAUUUGUUUAUAGCUAGUUUUAUGUACCGCCCGAAUUCGCACAAACGGCAAACAUGUGGCGGCUCUAUCGUCCCAUCCCGAACUCUGCGGCACAUCUGCGUACGCUGUCCGCUCUCCGCUGUCCGAUGCGUUGACGUAAUAUGCAUGGAAAUAGCCGACAAUUAUUCUGGCUAAACAUAUUCAACUCUUUGGUUAUGGACAGAGCAUGUUGGGCUCCCACUCUCGACGGACUUGAGCCUGGAGCUGAGGAUUGAGUGAAGCUGACCUAAGGCCAGGGAUUGCAAGUGGAACAUUUAGAUUCAAAGACUGUCGAGGGGAAAAAAGCUCAGAAUGCUAAUAGCGGAUCAUCUGCAGUCCUCGCUCGACGCCUAGUCCGUUUCAUCUGGCGAUUAUCAUUGAUGUCAAUUUCUUGUUCUUGCCCCACACAAACUGAAAUUGCAAUCAAAUUCUGUGGAAACAUCGACCCAAAUUGCACUCCAAAGCUAAGCAAUUGCCGUCUAUCGCAGCGGAACGGAAUGGAAUUGUAUAUUUAUUCAGUUCGCCAAAACUUGAACCAAAAAUCAUGCAAAUUGUUAUAUAUUUCAAUAUUUUAUUAGCCCAGGGAAACGGAAGCCAAAUCCAAGCUUGGGCAGGGCCAUAAAUUGCAGCAGUUGUUCCGAUUGGACCGUGGACUCUGGAUCGAGGAUGGAGGAACAAGGAAGGACUUGAUGGCCAUAAAUAUCGCAGCCAUUACACAAAAUAAAACUGCACACAGCUACAGAGGGAAUCAGAGAAAGAGAGAGGGACAGGGAGCGGGAGGGGGAGAGAGAGGGAGGUA